AUUGAACGCUGGCGGCAGGCCUAACACAUGCCAGUCGAGCGGAUGAAGGGAGCUUGCUCCUGGAUUCAGCGGCGGACGGGUGAGUAAUGCCUAGGAAUCUGCCUGGUAGUGGGGGAUAACGUCCGGAAACGGGCGCUAAUACCGCAUACGUCCUGAGGGAGAAAGUGGGGGAUCUUCGGACCUCACGCUAUCAGAUGAGCCUAGGUCGGAUUAGCUAGUUGGUGGGGUAAAGGCCUACCAAGGCGACGAUCCGUAACUGGUCUGAGAGGAUGAUCAGUCACACUGGAACUGAGACACGGUCCAGACUCCUACGGGAGGCAGCAGUGGGGAAUAUUGGACAAUGGGCGAAAGCCUGAUCCAGCCAUGCCGCGUGUGUGAAGAAGGUCUUCGGAUUGUAAAGCACUUUAAGUUGGGAGGAAGGGCAGUAAGUUAAUACCUUGCUGUUUUGACGUUACCAACAGGAUAAGCACCGGCUAACUUCGUG
rnacentral:rRNA from 1 species